rnacentral:rRNA from 1 species
CCCCUAGAUGUUCUGGGCCGCACGCGCGCUACACUGAACAGUUCAACAAGUCUUAACCUUGGCCGAUAGGUCUGGGUAAUCUUUGAACGCUGUUCGUGAUUGGGAUAGACCUUUGCAAUUAUGGGUCUUCAACGAGGAAUUCCUAGUAAACGCAAGUCAUCAGCUUGCAUUGAUUACGUCCCUGCCCUUUGUACACACCGCCCGUCGCACCUACCGAUUGAAUGGUCCGGUGAAAUCUCCGGACUGGCGUGAGUCGGAGCAAUCUGACAAACGCCGGAAAGUUGAUUAAACCUUACCAUUUAGAGGAAGGUGAANUCGUAACA